rnacentral:tRNA from 1 species
ACAGUGGUGGUUCAGCGAUAGAAUUCUUGCCUUCCAUGCGGGAGACCUGGGUUCAAUUCCCAGACAGUGCC